UUAGUUUAGAAACUUACAAAAACUAAAAAUAUAAGUUUUAUCAAAAUAUCGUGGAAUUCAUGUUUGAUAAAAUUAAUUAAUAUUUAUAAAUAUGUCAUAAUAUUAUUCAAAUGUUUGACAAAACUAAUCUAUCAAUUCUAACUAAAAAAAUGAACAACAUGCAAUAUGAGCCGAUAUUACUAAUAAAUUGAAACCAUGAAUAUAACACAAUUUCAAAAUUAAAAAAAAAAAGUUUAACAUAUGUCAAAUUCCAACAUAAUAUAGUAAAUUCCACUACAACUUAAGAUUAGGAAACAUAAUAAGUUUAUAAUCACAUUCAACAUCGAAAUUUCACUUUAAUUGCAUCACUAAUUAUAUGCCAAAUUUGUUAAUUACUCAUUAUUUCUAAUAUCAGGAGGUGUAGUUUCAACAAAUAGAAUAAUAAAAAUAAAUAAAAAAUAAAAAAUAAAAUAUAAGCAAUUACAUGGAAUCACAAGAAGUAAAGGUAGAGAAAUAAAAAAUAAACAAUGUACAAAGAAAAUUAUAUUUUAAAAUUACAAAAGAAAAUAAAAUUAUAAAAUUAAAAUAAUAGAAGUAAAAAGUUAUAAAAAAAUAAAUUAAAAUAAAAACAAAAAAGAAAGAAACUAAAAAACAACCUUGUAAUUACACAAUGCAAUUACCACCAAUUCUCACCUCCCUUUGAGAAUUGAAGAGUGUAAUUACACCCCUCCAAUUACACCUAAUUCCAUGCUAACCAAGUAAUUACUUGGCCAAACAAACAUGUCAAACUAUGUAAUUACACCGAAUUACACCCAAAUCCAUUUCCAAAGUGGCUUUCCAAACAUGCUCUAUGAGUUUAAUCUACUUUGGAGGAGCUAGCUUUACUGCCCAGCAGGAGAUUACUGAUGCACUUGGGUUUGUAAAAGGAGAACUACCAUUUAGAUAUUUGGAGGUACCUCUUAGUGAUAAGAGAUUAUCAAUAAUUCAAUAUCAACCAUUACUGGAUAAAAUGAUGGGAAAGAUAAUUUUCUGGACUUCCAAAUUUUUAUCAUAUACUGGCUAGGUACAAUUGAUUAAGAGCAUCUUGUUUACUAUUCAAGUCUUCUGGUCCCAAAUACUCAUUCUGCCAAAGAAAAUUAUAAGGUGGGAAGUUCUUGGAGGGAAGGAUGCCGGGUGUCUAUUUGGAAACAGUCUCUCUACCCUAGGGUAGGGGUAAGGUCUGCGUACACACUACCCUCCCCAGACCCCACUAAGUGGGAUUAUACUGGGUUGUUGUUGUUGUUGAUAGAAGUUAUCUGUAGGAGAUUCUUGCGGAAUGGGAGUACUUCUUUAUCUAAGAAAGCUUUGAUAGCAUGGGAAAAGCUGUGUUAUCCAAGAGUAGCUGGAGGCAUAAACUUUCUAGAUAUAAAAACUUGGUAUAGGCCUGUCAUUUGCAAACUUCUAUGGAGUGUGUGGAAGAAAAAAGAUAAGCUAUGAGUGCAAUGGGUGAAUAUAUGCUUAUUACAUAAAAGAAUAAUCGGUAUGGAUAGCACAACCUACACAGGCAUCAUGGGUAGUUCAAAAGAUUUUUGAUGCAAGAAAAUGUCUAGAGGCUGCUGGGUAGGGAGAGGAUGAUGUUCGACAGAUGCAAUCUUUCCCUAUAAAAAAGAUGUACUAUUUGAAAUUGAGAGGAGAUUUUUUGUAAAGUUGACUGGAGAAGAUUGAUAUGUAAUAUUUUUGGAUGUCCAAAAUGGUUUUUCAUUCUUCACUUGGCUUCGAGUCUCCCAAAAAGCAAGGUGGGAAGUUCUUGGAGGGAAGGAUGCCGGGGGUCUAUUUGGAAACAGUCUCUCUACCCUAAGGUAGGGGUAAGGUCUGCGUACACACUACCCUCCCUAGACCCCACUAAGUGAGAUUAUACUGGGUUGUUGUUGUUGUUGUACUUGGCUUUAUAUGGCAGACUCCUCACAGAAGAUAGAUUGUCACAAUGGGGAGUUAUUGAUAACUUGGUUUAUCCUCUGCGUGGUCUAGCUGAUGAAAGUCAUGAUCAUCUCUUCUUUUUGUGUGAGUUCUCUACUAAUGUUUGGAGUAAACUAUUACAAUGGCUAGGAAUCUAUCGAACUGUACAAAACUGGAAUGGAGAAAUCAGUUGGGCAACUAUUCAUAAGGGGAAAGAACAUCCAAGCUGAGAUCUUUCGAAUGACACUAGCUGGUGCUGUAUAUCUUAUUUGGCAAGAAAGGAACAUGAAAUUAUUUCACAACAAGCAAAGAACAACAACAACAAUCCAGUAUAAUCCCACUUAGUGGGGUCUGGGGAGGGUAGUGUGUACGUAGACCUUACCCUACCCUGGGGUAGAGAGACUGUUUCCAAAUAGACCAUCGGCAUCCUUCCCUCCAAGAACUUCCCACCUUGCUCUUGGGGAGACUCGAACUCACAACCUCUCGGUUGGAAGUGGAGGUUGCUUACCAAAGAACACCUGUUAUAAUAAUCAGGCAACUCAUAGAAGAAGUAUAUUGUAGGGGGACAAUGAAGAGUAGAUUAGCAAGAGGUUUGGAACGGUUUGAUUUUUAUCCUAGUUAGAUGUUGAGCUGAUGUAAUAUAAUAGUACAGCAAUAUGUUGGUUAGAAGUUGCUGGGAUUAGAAGGUUUGGGGCAAUUGUCCAAAUCUUGCCUUUUGUUUUGUACUGUACAGUUAUACUUGGUAAUAAAAGUUUUUUUAUUUACCAAAAAAAGAAUUGUACCUUCUAGCGGCGACCUGCUAUGGACUUUAGUGACGACCUACUUCCACACUUUUAGUGGCGAUAUUACUUGCCUUUAGUGGCGACUGUGUCGCCGCAAAAGCACUUUUAAUUUCUAUACUAUAUGCUAUAUGUACAAAUACAUU
rnacentral:lncRNA from 1 species